GACGAACGCUGGCGGCGUGCUUAACACAUGCAAGUCGAACGGAAAGGCCCUGCUUUUGUGGGGUGCUCGAGUGGCGAACGGGUGAGUAACACGUGAGUAACCUGCCCUUGACUUUGGGAUAACUUCAGGAAACUGGGGCUAAUACCGGGUAGGAGCUCCUGCUGCAUGGUGGGGGUUGGAAAGUUUCGGCGGUUGGGGAUGGACUCGCGGCUUAUCAGCUUGUUGGUGGGGUAGUGGCUUACCAAGGCUUUGACGGGUAGCCGGCCUGAGAGGGUGACCGGCCACACUGGGACUGAGAUACGGCACAGACUCCUACGGUAGGCAGCAGUGGGGAAUAGUGCACAAGGGGCGGAAGCCUGAUGCAGCAACGCCGCGUGCGGGAUGACGGCCUUCCGGUUGUAAACCGCUGUUGCCUGUGACGAAGCGUGAGUGACGGUAAUGGGUAAAGAAGCACCGGCUAACUACGUG
rnacentral:rRNA from 1 species